UACGAGGGGGGCAAGCGUUGUCCGGAGUUAUUGGGCGUAAAGCGCGCGCAGGCGGUGCGGUAAGUCUCUGGUGAAAGCGCUCGGCUUAACUGGGCGAGGGCCGGGGAGACUGCCACGCUGGAGGGGAGCAGAGGCGAGUGGAAUUCCGGGUGUAGUGGUGAAAUGCGUAGAGAUCCGGAGGAACACCAGUGGCGAAGGCGGCUCGCUGGGCUCUACCUGACGCUGAGGCGCGAAAGCGUGGGGAGCGAACCGG
rnacentral:rRNA from 1 species